rnacentral:rRNA from 1 species
UACAGAGGGGGCAAGCGUUAUUCGGAAUUAUUGGGCGUAAAGGGCGCGUAGGCGGCUUGGCAAGUGGAUGGUGAAAUCCCUCGGCUUAACCGAGGAACUGCCGUCCAAACUGCUUCGCUUGAGACCGGGAGAGGUGAGUGGAAUUCCCAGUGUAGCGGUGAAAUGCGUAGAUAUUGGGGAGGAACACCAGUGGCGAAGGCGGCUCACUGGACCGGUACUGACGCUGAUGCGCGAAAGCGUGGGGAGCAAACGGGG